rnacentral:tRNA from 1 species
GUGGUUAUAGUUUAAGUGGUAAAACUGGUGUUUGUGGUACACCUAAUUAGAGUUCAAGUCUCUAUUAUCACC